CCUACGGGAGGCAGCAGUGAGGAAUAUUGCACAAUGGGGGGAACCCUGAUGCAGCAACGCCGCGUGGAGGAUGACGCAUUUCGGUGUGUAAACUCCUUUUAUAUGUCAAGAAAAUGACGGUAGCAUAUGAAUAAGCACCGGCUAACUCCGUGCCAGCAGCCGCGGUAAUACGGAGGGUGCAAGCGUUACUCGGAAUCACUGGGCGUAAAGGACGCGUAGGCUGUUUUGCAAGUCAGAUGUGGAAUCCAAUGGCUCAACCAUUGAACUGCAUUUGAAACUGCUAGACUAGAGUAUGGGAGGGGGAGAUGGAAUUAGUGGUGUAGGGGUAAAAUCCGUAGAUAUCACUAGGAAUACCUAAAGCGAAGGCGAUCUCCUGGAACAUUACUGACGCUAAGGCGUGAAAGCGUGGGGAGCAAACAGGAUUAGAUACCCUGGUAGUCCACGCCCUAAACGAUGAACACUAGUCGUCGGGAUGCUUGUCAUCUCGGUGAUGCACUUAACAGGUUAAGUGUUCCGCCUGGGGAGUACGGUCGCAAGAUUAAAACUCAAAGGAAUAGACGGGGACCCGCACAAGUGGUGGAGCAUGUGGUUUAAUUCGAAGAUACGCGAAAAACCUUACCUGGCCUUGACAUUGAUAGAAUCCUGUAGAGAUACGGGAGUGCCCUUCGGGGAGCUUGAAAACAGGUGCUGCACGGCUGUCGUCAGCUCGUGUCGUGAGAUGUUGGGUUAAGUCCCGCAACGAGCGCAACCCUCGUCCUUAGUUGCCAGCAGGUUAAGCUGGGCACUCUAGGGAGACUGCCUUCGCAAGGAGGAGGAAGGUGAGGACGACGUCAAGUCAUCAUGGCCCUUACGGCCAGGGCUACACACGUGCUACAAUGGGGCGUACAGAGUGUUGCAAUACCGCGAGGUGGAGCCAAUCACUUAAAGCGUCUCUCAGUUCGGAUUGUUCUCUGCAACUCGAGAGCAUGAAGCUGGAAUCACUAGUAAUCGUAGAUCAGCAUUGCUACGGUGAAUACGUUCCCGGGUCUUGUACUCACCGCCCGU
rnacentral:rRNA from 1 species